rnacentral:lncRNA from 1 species
GUCCCCGGCGUCCGGGCGCCCUGCAUGGAUCCCCCACCCCAGCUCCUGCUCCCCGGCGGCGGCCGGUGGGCAGAAAGACCGAAACCCACUCACGGCCGCCUGCCGAAUCGCGGCUCUGCUGUUUGUGGGGCGUGCUAGAAACGUGGUCCUAAAAAGAAUGGCGUCCAUUUACAUAAUGCUUUGUUUGCGUUUCGCAAGUUUCUUUCGGUUAAAGCCACAGAAACCCCACCUCCUGCCCUUGUGUCGUUUCCACCGCGGCACCCUUUUCCGACAUUAGAAACAAUAGUGUACGCCUGUGGAGGCCUCGUUUGUUCAGGGGCUGCCGGCCAGGGCUUCAGGACGUUUCUGCGGCUUUCCCCGCGCGGCCUGGGCUCCCGCGGCUGCUUUUCGGGCCCAUGGGCGCAGCCACUGCGCCAGGCUCAAGGGGGGCGGCCCCGUCAGGGCCCGCCAUCUUGGAAGGCCUUUUUUGCCGGUUCUUCCCGCUGAGGAAGUGUCGCUCAAGACGCUGGCCUAUGAGUUGUGAUUUCUGCCUUUUCCCCUUCCUCCUUGGGCUAAGCCAGACCAGAAAGGGCCCCGUGCGCAACGUGCUUCACAAUCUCUCAGGGAAAGCGGCUAACGUGGCGCUACUCCGCCUCCCCUGUUCCUUACCCUUGGGGCGGCCGCCAUGUUUCCUGAACACAAAAUGGCGACACGUGGUUAGCAUUCGUCGCCAACGAGAAAUUGGGGUCGGCCCGAAAGCUCUAGAAUGCACCCCUCUUCCUCCCCGGGGCCUUCCACCUCCGCGAGUUUUAUGACUUAAAAAAGCCCACAGGCUGGUCUGAAGGUCGGAGGCCUAAUUUUAACGCGUUUUCCUCCCUUUAAUUUGAAACGGGAACGCGAAUGACUGUAAAAUGUGGGCACAAUAUUUAAUCUCUCGCCUUUUUAAAGCUUAAUAGUGGAUAAUAGGGGGGCAGUAUCAAGGGAUAAUUUGGGUCCCCACAGUACCAAAGCAUUUAGAAACCUCUGUUUAAUUUAAGGAAUGAGAUAAGUUACUGCUUUUCUAGACUUCCUAGCAUGGGCUGUUGUGCUGGAGAGAACGAGAGCUACGAAGAGACUACAGUGCCUCUGACUUUUUCAUAGGACAGUUGGCCGAGGAAGACAAACAUAAAGAUGAAGUGCUUAAUUCAAGGUCACACAAUGUCGGGGAUGGACCUCCAGAUUUCCUUACUGACCUGCAUUAUCUUGUGGAUACCUGAGUGAAUUCCACACCACCCAUUUUAUAGAUGAAACCACUGAGACAUGGAGCAAUUGACUGAGUAGUCACUGCCCCACCCCUGCCUGGAGCCUCACACAUGACUCGCCUCCUCUCAGUGACCACAGGUUGGUUGAGGGGUUUAACAAGGCUAAGAAGGUGAGACGUGGUCUUGUAACACAGUGGUUAAGAAUGUGACUUUGGAGCCAGCCUGCUAGGGGCUGAAUUCUGACUCAGCCAUUUACUAACUGUGUGACCUUAGGGAGGAGGACCUGGUUGAUAGAAGAAUUUAUCUCGUAGUCUUAACAUCCACUGUAAUUCCAAACUUUGAGGACGAUAGAGAUCAGUGGGCUUUGACUGCCCAGCAUGCAGUCUCCAUUCUUAGGUGGGUUCCCAAGCCUGUAAAAUGUAAGCCUUAUGCUGCUGAGGGCCAUCUUGCCACCCUGAGGGAAACGCUGCCUGAGAAUGAAACAAGCAUAAGUAAAAGCUGAGCUGUGAGAUGGAGCAAGAUGAAGGCCACAUGACAUCUUUGGAGCACCUGGAUCUAACUGUGCCUUAAGCUAGUCUAACCCUGAACAUUUCAUCAUUUCAUUGACAUGAGCCCAGGUUUUCUUUUUUUUUGGAUGGAGUCUUGCUCUGUCGCCCAGGCUGGAGUGCAGUAGCUCAAUCUCGGCUCACUGCAAGCUCCACCUCCCGGGUUCACGCCAUUCUCCUGCCUUAGCCUCCCAAGUAGCUGGGACAACAGGCGCCCACCACCACUCCCAGCUAAUUUUUUGUAUUUUUAGUAGAGACGGGGUUUUACCAUGUUAGCCGGGAUGGUCUUGAUCUCCUGACCUCAUGAUCCGCCCGCCUCGGCCUCCCAAAGUGCUGGGAUUACAGGUGUGAGCCACUGCACCCAGCCCUCAGGUUUUCCCUUUUUUUACCCCUCCUUUUGAAAAUUUGAUGUGGAAUUUUGCCACCUGCAGCCAGAAGAGUUUUAACUAAUCAGUGCCAUAAAUUUUAUAUAGUUCUCCUUGCAAAAUGUGGAUCAGCCUUUCUCAGCAAAUCCUUUGUCAUAAAGUGCUGAAUUGUAAGUUUGUCAUGAGAAUCACAUGAGAUCAUGCAUGUGAAGAACCUGGCAUUAUCCUCCUCAUAGAAAAAAACCAGUAAAUAUUAACUACAGGAAGCAAGGAAGGAGUGGGGUGAGGGGAAGAAGAAGGGGUACUGAUUUAAAAGAACCCUGGAGUCCUAAGGAUAAUCUAGGAACCCUCAGACCCAAUCCGAUACCCCUAUUCUAAAUGCUCCUAGUGCCCUGUACCUUCCCCUCAUAAGCCUUCAUUAUCAUUGUAAUGAUAUGUUUAUGUAAUAUUUUGAUUAAUGUCUCUCCUUCACUGACCUAGCAGUUCUAGCAGGGCAGUGAUUUUGCUGUGUUGCAUCCCCAGCACCUAGUCUGGUAUGUGGCAUUCAGCAUAUGUUUAUUGAAUGAAUGGCCAUGUGGUUAUUCAGAUCCUCCUUGAUUAUUGGGGUUAGGAUUGUGGCAGAAGUGGCAAAAUCAGGGAGAGUAGUCCCUGUCCCCUCUGUAUCUUAUACACUGCCCACACUCCCAACACACAUACACAUACAGAGAAUUUUGUCUCAAUUAGAUAAUUAACUUCUGCUUGGUUGUAAACCAAACCACUGGUUCUUAAACUUUCAUUGGAUCAUUUUAUUGAAGAAUUAAAUAGUGUGGUUCUGGCCUAAUGUCUGGAAAGCCUUGCAGAGGAGUGGAUUAGGUCUUUGUGAUAAACAGGCAGCCUUCCCUGCUCCUGUGUCUUUAUAAAAUCUAUUUAACUGGAGUAGUCCACCCUCCCUCAGGCUCUUACAGGAAUAUGUUGGAGGCUGUAGGAAGGUGGGAAACCGAGAGGGAAAGGACUGGGCCGCUGGAGACUUCACUCAUUCCCUAGCAAGAAACAAAAGCAGUAAAAGGUGGCCCGAGGACAACCUGAAGCUCACUCCUUCAGCACUUUUGGCUGGAGGUCACUUGUUGGAGCCCCACUCAGAGCUCAGCACACCACCCCACCAGCAGCCUCCUCCUCCCAGCUGAGGCUGCAUUUCAUCCCUUCCCCCAGCCUGCUUUCCCUGAGAUAGGGGAGUGUUUCCCAGGGCCCAUGUGACUUCCACUGGCAAGUGACGAUUACCAAUGGUUUACUAGUCAGUGAAACUACCAAAGGCUUUUGUGCUGUAGUAAUCCUUUUCCUGUUUAAAACUCUGGGGAUUUUCUAAUGUUGCCAAUAGUUUUUCAAGUCAGCAAUUACUGUGUGGAUUAUGUAAUGGCUCGGUAUUAAAAAUAGAAAAGACUGGA